GACAGAGGCCUCAAGCGUUAGGCGGAAUCACUGGGCUUAAAGCGUGUGUAGGCGGAUCGUUAAGUGUCUUGUGAAAUCCCACGGCUCACCCGUGGAACUGCUGGGCAUACUGGCGAUCUUGGGCCAACUAGGGGCAGCCGGAACAAGCGGUGGAGCGGUGAAAUGCGUAGAUAUCGCUUGGAACGCCGAAGGUGAAAACAGGCUGCUGGGGUUGCGCCGACGCGUGAGACACGGAAAGCCAGGGGAGCAAACGGG
rnacentral:rRNA from 1 species